CGCGCAGGCGGACCUGUGCGUCCGGAGUGAAAUCUCGCCGCUCAACGGCGAGGCUGCUUUGGAAACGGCAGGUCUGGGGACCGGUAGAGGCUGGUAGAAUUGCAGGUGUAGCGGUGGAAUGCGUAGAGAUCUGCAAGAAUACCCGUGGCGAAGGCGGCCAGCUGGGCCGGAUCCGACGCUGAGGCGCGAAAGCGUGGGGAGCAAACAGGAUUAGAUACCCUGGUAGUCCACGCCGUAAACGAUGGGCACUAGGUGCCGGGGGGAGCGACCCCGUCGGUGCCGCAGCUAACGCGUUAAGUGCCCCGCCUGGGGAGUACGGCCGCAAGGCUGAA
rnacentral:rRNA from 1 species